rnacentral:rRNA from 1 species
GACGAACGCUGGCGGCGUGCUUAACACAUGCAAGUCGAACGGAAAGGCCCUGCUUUUGUGGGGUGCUCGAGUGGCGAACGGGUGAGUAACACGUGAGUAACCUGCCCUUGACUUUGGGAUAACUUCAGGAAACUGGGGCUAAUACCGGAUAGGAGCUCCUGCUGCAUGGUGGGGGUUGGAAAGUUUCGGCGGUUGGGGAUGGACUCGCGGCUUAUCAGCUUGUUGGUGGGGUAGUGGCUUACCAAGGCUUUGACGGGUAGCCGGCCUGAGAGGGUGACCGGCGACAUGGGGACUAAGAUACGGCCCAGACUCCUACGGGAGGCAGCAGUGGGGAAUAUUGCGCAAUGGGCGGGAGCCUGAUGCAGCAACGCCGCGUGCGGGAUGACGGCCUUCGGGUUAUAAACCGCUUUCGCCUGUGACGAAGCGUGAGUGACGGUAAUGGGUAAAGAAGCACCGGCUAACUACGUG